AGUAGCUGUGGCUUAGUGGUAGAGCAUCUAUUUUGCAUGCAGAAGUCCCAGGUUCACUCCCUGGUACCUCUA
rnacentral:tRNA from 1 species